GACGAACGCUGGCGGCGUGCUUAACACAUGCAAGUCGAGCGGUAAGGCCCUUUCGGGGGUACGACGAGCGGCGAACGGGUGAGUAACACGUGGGUGACCUGCCCUCAGCUCUGGGAUAAGCCCGGGAAACUGGGUCUAAUACUGGAUAUGACUCCACGGUGCAUGCCGUGGGGUGGAAAGCCUUGUGCGGCUGAGGAUGGGCCCGCGGCCUAUCAGCUUGUUGGUGGGGUGANGGCCUACCAAGGCGACGACGGUAGCCGGCCUGAGAGGGCGACCGGCCACACUGGGACUGAGACACGGCCCAGACUCCUACGGGAGGCAGCAGUGGGGAAUCUUGCGCAAUGGGCGAAAGCCUGACGCAGCGACGCCGCGUGA
rnacentral:rRNA from 1 species